rnacentral:rRNA from 1 species
GAUGAACGCUGGCGGCGUGCCUAAUACAUGCAAGUCGAGCGAACAGACGAGGAGCUUGCUCCUCUGACGUUAGCGGCGGACGGGUGAGUAACACGUGGAUAACCUACCUAUAAGACUGGGAUAACUUCGGGAAACCGGAGCUAAUACCGGAUAAUAUAUUGAACCGCAUGGUUCAAUAGUGAAAGACGGUUUUGCUGUCACUUAUAGAUGGAUCCGCGCCGCAUUAGCUAGUUGGUAAGGUAACGGCUUACCAAGGCAACGAUGCGUAGCCGACCUGAGAGGGUGAUCGGCCACACUGGAACUGAGACACGGUCCAGACUCCUACGGGAGGCAGCAGUAGGGAAUCUUCCGCAAUGGGCGAAAGCCUGACGGAGCAACGCCGAGUGAGUGAUGAAGGUCUUCGGAUCGUAAAACUCUGUUAUUAGGGAAGAACAAAUGUGUAAGUAACUAUGCACGUCUUGACGGUACCUAAUCAGAAAGCCACGGCUAACUACGU